UAGACGGAGCAACGCCGUGUGAGUGAUGAAGGUUUUCGGAUCGUAAAACUCUGUUGUUAGGGAAGAACAAGUACCGUUCGAAUAGGGCGGUACCUUGACGGUACCUAACCAGAAAGCCACGGCUAACUACGUGCCAGCAGCCGCGGUAAUACGUAGGUGGCAAGCGUUGUCCGGAAUUAUUGGGCGUAAAGCGCGCGCAGGCGGUUUCUUAAGUCUGAUGUGAAAGCCCCCGGCUCAACCGGGGAGGGUCAUUGGAAACUGGGGAACUUGAGUGCAGAAGAGGAGAGUGGAAUUCCACGUGUAGCGGUGAAAUGCGUAGAGAUGUGGAGGAACUUUCUAGUGGCGAAGGCGACUCUCUGGUCUGUAACUGACGCUGAGGCGCGAAAGCGUGGGGAGCGAACAGGAUUAGAUACCCUGGUAGUCCACGCCGUAAACGAUGAGUGCUAAGUGUUAGAGGGUUUCCGCCCUUUAGUGCUGCAGCAAACGCAUUAAGCACUCCGCCUGGGGAGUACGGUCGCAAGACUGAAACUCAAAGGAAUUGACGGGGGCCCGCACAAGCGGUGGAGCAUGUGGUUUAAUUCGAAGCAACGCGAAGAACCUUACCAGGUCUUGACAUCCUCUGACAACCCUAGAGAUAGGGCUUCCCCUUCGGGGGCAGAGUGACAGGUGGUGCAUGGUUGUCGUCAGCUCGUGUCGUGAGAUGUUGGGUUAAGUCCCGCAACGAGCGCAACCCUUGAUCUUAGUUGCCAGCAUUCAGUUGGGCACUCUAAGGUGACUGCCGGUGACAAACCGGAGGAAGGUGGGGAUGACGUCAAAUCAUCAUGCCCCUUAUGACUGGGUA
rnacentral:rRNA from 1 species